AACUUUAGGAAGUUUAGCUAGGAAGGAGAGUUAAGAAAUAAUGUACUGGUUCUCCACCGGUCAAGGCUGGAGUCCUCCGUGUGGAGCAUUCACCCUCCCGGGGCACGGCUGGCCGCUUUCCUGAAAGCAGAUAUUUCCAUCUAAAUUCACCUGUGUCAGCGUGUUAUGAUGCCGUCUCGUACCAACCUGGCUACUGGAAUUCCCAGUAGCAAAGUGAAAGACUCUCUAGUACAGAUGAUGGCUACAUUGACCUUCAGUUUAAGAAAAGCCCUCCUAAGAUCCCAUAUAAGGCCAUUGCGCUCGCUACAGUGCUGUUUUUGAUUGGCGCCUUUCUCAUUAUCAUAGGCUCCCUCCUGCUGGCAGGCUAUAUCAGCAAAGGUGGGGGCAGACCGGGCCGUUCCUGUCCUGAUCAUUGGCAUCCUAGUGUUCCUGCCAGGAUUUUACCACCUGCGCAUCACCUACUAUGCAUCCAAAGGCUACCAGGGAUACUCCUAUGAUGACAUUCCAGACUUUGAUGACUAGCACCCACCCCAGCACUGAAGAAAAGAGUCACAGAUGGAACUGAGCCCAGCUUUAAGACAUUGAGCAGAAACUAUGACUAAGGGCUAAGGAGUUCUGCAGUUUGCAGAUGUUUAACAAAACAGUGGCCAGAUUUUAUGGGUCCAUCCUGAAAGAUGUUAACUAAGCUCACAAGUAACUGUCAUUUGGGCAUUCUCUUAUUUUUCAUUUUCUGGCCCUGGCAAAAAGCUCCUGACAAAGUUUUUCUGAAUGAAUAUGCAUCAUGGGAGAGUAGCAAUUAAUUGUAUGGUAAAGUGGGAGGUUAUUCUGUAGUGGAAAGUGUUCUGCCACCACCCUUUUUAGAGUUGAGCAUUCUUUUAAAUAGUCCUCAUGGUCAGAAUGUUCUUAUGGCAAAUGGAAGAAUGCGAUAUGUCAGAUUUCUUAUUACUAAGUAAUUUAUUUUGAAAAUAAGUGUCUUCUCCCCAUACUCUUUAACUUUGUGUUCCAGUGGAAGACCUUGGCACAAUCAAAUAUCAGUGUGGUGCAUCUAUAAUCUUUUUUACUUGCUUUCUUAUUAAAAACAACUAGGAAUUUUUUAAAUCUCAAAGCAGAUUUUCAAAAUGUAAACACUCUUCUCUGUACACCAAUCCUUGGCCAGCUCUGAUCUGGCCUACUGAUAGGUUGGCCAGCAUAUAAUUUGGAUCAUUCUGUCCUGUGUAGAUCAAAAUGUUCUUAUAUCAUACCUUUAUGGACUAGACUUUUGGCUGCUUCCUAAGGAAAAAAUGUAGAUGAAUGGUUAUUAUUUAGAGUUUAUAAUCCUGUU
rnacentral:lncRNA from 1 species